rnacentral:misc_RNA from 1 species
GAUCAUUAUUGAUUUUAGAAUACUCUUGUGGAUAUUUAAUUACAUUAAACUCAUCAUAUCAUUUUAAUUAUAACUAUCAACAACGGAUCUCUUGGCUCUCACAUCGAUGAAGAACGCAGCGAACCGCGAUAUUUUUUGUGACUUGCAGAUGUGAAUCAUCAAUCUUUGAACGCACAUUGCGCGGUGUGGUAUUCCGCACCGCACGGAUGGAAGAGCGUGUUCCCUUUGGGAUCGCAUUGCUUUCUUGAAAUGAAUCUAUUACUUCAAUAUACAUCAUUUCACCUC